UAACAAUGAUUUCCUUAGUAACGGCGAGUGAAGAGGAAAAAGCUCAAAGUUGUAACCUAUUUGGCUUAGCCAAAUCGGAUUGUAGACUGGAGAAGUGUUUUAUGGCACGCCGAGUGAAAAAGUCCCUUGGAACAGGGCAUCAUAGAGGGUGAGAAUCCCGUGAAUUCACUUGAGUAUAUGUUGUCAACUUUAAUACACUUUCAAAGAGUCAGGUUGUUUGGGAAUGCAGCCUAAAUUGGGUGGUAAAUCUCACCUAAAGCUAAAUAUUGGCGAGAGACCGAUAGCGAACAAGUACCGUGAGGGAAAGAUGAAAAGAACUUUGAAAAGAGAGUUAAACAGUACGUGAAAUUGUUAAAAGGGAACCGUUUGGAGCCAGACCGGCUUUAUCGUAAUCAAUCUAGGUUUCGACCUGGAUGCACUUGCGGUAGAUUUGCCUGCCAACGACAGUUUUUUUUGAGGGAAAAAACUAGGAGGAAUGUGGCCCUUAACUUGUUAGGGGUGUUAUAGCCUUUUAGAAAAUACCUUGAAUUGGACUGAGGAACGCAGCGAAUGCUCUUUAGGGCGAAAUAGUUGAGUGCUUUGGCUGAUAGAUGCUAGAAUUUCUGCUUCGGGUGGUGCUAGUGUUUAAAGGUUAAACUCGCUUGAUUCAUUUUUUAUUCGCUUAGGUUGUUGGCUUAAUGACUCUAAAUGA
rnacentral:rRNA from 1 species